GACGAACGCUGGCGGCGUGCUUAACACAUGCAAGUCGAGCGGUAAGGCCCUUUCGGGGGUACACGAGCGGCGAACGGGUGAGUAACACGUGGGUGACCUGCCCUCAGCUCUGGGAUAAGCCUGGGAAACCGGGUCUAAUACUGGAUAUGACUCCAUGACGCAUGUUGUGGGGUGGAAAGCCUUGUGCGGCUGAGGAUGGGCCCGCGGCCUAUCGGCUUGUUGGUGGGGUGAUGGCCUACCAAGGCGACGACGGGUAGCCGGCCUGAGAGGGCGACCGGCCACACUGGGACUGAGACACGGCCCAGACUCCUACGGGAGGCAGCAGUGGGGAAUCUUGCGCAAUGGGGCGAAAGCCUGACGCAGCGACGCCGCGUGAGGGAUGACGGCCU
rnacentral:rRNA from 1 species